UUGCACGCUGGCGGCAUGCUUUACACAUGCAGGUCGAACGGCAGCGCGGGCUUCGGCCUGGCGGCGAGUGGCGAACGGGUGAGUAAUACAUCGGAACGUGCCCAGUAGUGGGGGAUAGCUCGGCGAAAGCCGGAUUAAUACCGCAUACGACCUGAGGGUGAAAGCGGGGGAUCUUCGGACCUCGCGCUAUUGGAGCGGCCGAUGGCAGAUUAGCUAGUUGGUGGGGUAAAGGCCUACCAAGGCGACGAUCUGUAGCUGGUCUGAGAGGACGACCAGCCACACUGGGACUGAGACACGGCCCAGACUCCUACGGGAGGCAGCAGUGGGGAAUCUUGGACAAUGGGCGAAAGCCUGAUCCAGCAAUGCCGCGUGUGUGAUGAAGGCCUUCGGGUUGUAAAGCACUUUUGGCGGGAACGAAAAGGACUGUGCCAAUACCACGGUUCGAUGACGGUACCCGCAGAAUAAGCACCGGCUAACUACGUG
rnacentral:rRNA from 1 species